CUUUCAGUUUCAUUACUGCCUCUCUCUUUGUUCUCUCCCAUUCUUUCUUCCCAUCCAAAUCCCUAACAAGUCACCGUCGAAUACACACCUUCACCUUCAUCCAUCCCCUCAACCCACACCACCACAAACCUUCAGAACCACCCACCACCACCAUAUUCAAAUUGUUUUAUUACUCACAACCAGUCUCUACGAACAAUCCUAAAGAGACACGAUUCUCAUUCACUCAUCUUGUUCAAGAUUUACUUUUUUUUUCUUGUUGUUUCGAAGAUUAGUGUAUUCUUAUUGUUUUGGAGUUUUCUAAAUUAGAGUUUUCUCUAUUUAUCCGUUCUUGUAAGUUUUGUUUGCAUCCUUCUAAUUAUUUUUUUAUUUUUGGAUUUUAUUUCAUGUUACCGACAAAUCCAUCUUCAUGUUACAAGCAAAGGUACGAGCUAUGGUUAAAGGUUUUUGUUUUGAGCUUUUAUUUCUUUAGCCUUUGUUGUUUUCAGUUGUUAAUUUAGAUUUGUUGAUUUAGUUUUGUUGUUUUUGAGUUGUUCAUUUAAGCUUUAAUGUCUGGUGUGUCUUGCUUCAGUUAUGAAACAUUGGUCUCUAUGGAGCUGUGUUUUUGGAUAGCUUUUAUUUAAACAAUUUUUAACCUUAAUUGUUGUUUUGGCUUAAACAUAUGGAGCAAGGACUAAAUCGUAGGCAAGGAGUUACAAAUAAGAAAAUAUAUCUUGGAAUAGAUAUAAUUUGCAAUGAAAUUCUCCUUUCAUGGUGGUGUGUUGAUAUUACAUGGUUUAGUGCAUGGAUUGCCUAUGUGUUAUACAACUAUUGUGAAGUUAUACAGUAUAAAAUGUA